GGUUCCACCUCGGGGUGCCUGCUCGUCAGGCUGAGAUGCGCGUCCGCGCGAACCCGUUGAACCUGAACCGGUUAAGACCGGCGGAGGGAAGGUGCACCCGCUCCUC
rnacentral:ncRNA from 2 species